CGUAAUUUCCUGAAAAAUUAUAUUCCCAAUUUGCUAGGCCCAUGACCAAAAGCCCAUUAUCUACCGAUUAGGGUUUUCAACCAGCCACCUUCUAGUUGUCUGCCUUUUAGCUUUAUAUAUUCGCCCAUAUCCACCCACACAAACAUAUUUCUCCCUCUCACACACAAACACAGUUUUCAUGAUUUGAUAGGAGCAGUGAUGAUAUAUAGAGAAAGUCAUGCACCACUCUGAUUAUAGUGAUGUUAAAUUUCUCAUACCCAUAUACUCUUCUGAGCUCCUUUCUUUGCCUUUUUUUUUUUUUUGAUUUUUUGAUUUUUUCUAAAUUGUUUUUCUAUUCUUUUUUACUCAAUUACACACAUAUAGGAGCCAUGUGAUGCGAUCUUUGAAAAGAUCAAACCAUGAUGCGGACCGUACAAUAGCCUUAAGCUUCUGGGGAUCAACUUUGGUUCCUGAUGGCUCCCCUCUAUUAUUAUUUUUCUAUAAAUAUAUUCGUUUUAUUUUUUGAUAUUUUGAGUAUUUGAAUUACUCUCACAUUUGAGGGAGAGGGAAUGAGUAGUGAUCAGUAAAAAAGGAUGGAGUGGAAAGGGAUGCGAUUAUGAGAGGUUAUUGGAGUGGGAGGUGUCGAAAGAUAUAGUUAUAUUUGUUUUCUUUCAAUUCAAAGUUGAAAGAAUAAAAAUAAUUUUGUCUUUCCGAUACCUCCCAUUCCCAUGGCUUCCGCUUACUUCGCCCUUGCCUUAUUUUGUCAUCCGUUUGCAGAGAAUAAUUAGUUUCUUUUCCUUCUCAAGAUUAUAAUUGUGAUAAUUGCUGAUCUGAUAUAGUGUAUUUCUAUAUAUUGUGUAUCAAGAAUUGGUUGAUGGGGAAAAAGAUUGAUUGCUGGGGUUUGUUGUUACGAUGUACUUUAUUUUCUGAAAUAUAUCAGUACGAAUUGUAUUGAUUUUUCAUAUACUUAUCGUAUUUAUCUUGGUCUGAUGCUAAGCUCUAAUAAUGAAGUUUUCUUGUUUUGAGGCUGCUGCCUACAUGUAUAUGUUGGUUAAAUGAGAGACCCUCUUCUGAAAACAAAUCUUAGUAGACUUUGCGAGACAACCUUGAGGUACUUUAGAAAGGCAAAUCUUAACUUGUAACAUGAUCAAUAGACUACUUUGCGACAUGAGUCUUUCAAAUUUUCUUAUACUACACAUAAAUAUUUUUUUUAUCUUAGUUGGCUGAAAAGCAUUUGAGGAGCCUUGCAAUGUAAUCUAAUGGAACUGAAGUUGGCCAAAAUAUGUGUGAAGACAAACUGAUAUCUUACAAAAGCUGUUAGAAGAAUAGCUUACCAAAGCUUUAGAAGUCUGCUGAAGAGCAAAAUAAGAGAUUGGAGUUGGCACUUGGCCUCAAAUUGUAUUUAUAUUUCAAGGCUACGCAAACUGUGCUUAGUCUGUUGCUUUAUGCCCUUGUUAUAAUUAUAACCUGUAAUAAUGAAAGAGUUACAAUUGGCACAACUUAUUUCCUUUUCUUUACUUUUAUUUUCAAAAAUCGAAAACCAAACUCUUUUUAAUGUACCUUUGUACAUGCAAUUCUGAAGUUAUGAAAACCAAAAUGAAAUAAUUUAUGCGAAACCAGACAAUAAAAUAGUCAAAUUUAAAAUCCUUUAAGCGAAACCAAACCAAGAAAUGGAAAAAUCAAAUCAAAAUCAAAUAACUAAAAAUAUCGGAUGCACACGCUUAUGCAAAACUAUUUGAGAGGUUUCUCCAUUAACCUCCACUGUCUCUUUAACGUUUAUGGAAAAUUAAAGCAAAAAGCUAAAACAGUUAAAUAGAUUAUUUGCCUUUUCUAGUGAGGAAUCAACCAUAAGUAAAUACGGAAAUUAAAGGUUGUUGCUUGGGAGGUUUAUACAAAGACAAAAUAAGUUGUCAACAAUUAUACAGAAGUACUCAUUCUUCGUAUUAGUAGCGUUCAUGGUGGGAGACAAGAUUAAUUAUGGCUUUCUAAAUUUGUAGAGAGAGUACAAGCUGUAAAACAAAUAUUUCAGAAAACAUUCCAAAUUUCAGAAAACAUUUUUAUUUACUAAAGUUUUAGUUGUAGUUGUAAGAAGGAAUCGGGUUUGAAAUUUGGAAAGUAUUAUAAUAUCUAAGUAUCUAGUCAGAUCAUUCGAUUUUAUCCUUCGAGGACCAACGUAAUAUAUUUUUUCUUGUUCAAAGACGAAUUCAAAUUUAAAAUUCUGACACUUUUUUUUCUUCUUCUCUUUUGAUCCUUCUAUCUUUUGAAUUUACUUGCUAAUUAUUCGUAUUUAAUUAUCAGUUCACACGAAUAUGUCCAUAAAUAUUGGAACUAGGUGUAAAGGGUGUGAGAAGUCAGCAACAACUUUCGGAAGGAAAAUGUUUAGUUUGUGCGUGUGUUUUUCCCUAUAUUGCGUAUCUGCUUCACCAACAAUGACUGUUUUUUUACUUUGCAGAGUUUCAUACGCGAAGGAUUAGCUUUGAACCCACCCAAACUUAAUGGACCAUUUUUUGUCAUUUUCUUUACAAUUUUCGGCCAUUCACAAGCUUCAGUAUUUCUGUACUCAUCUUUUGGACUUCAGAAAAGGGCCAGAAUUGCUAUGAAGUAUUAGAACUGGUAUAAAAAUAUCCUACGUUCACUUAUUUGAAUAAAAAUAUAGCUAUUGUUAUUUUUUUUGGGCUCAACAUUACCCUUAUUACUAACAAAAAAUUCUGAAAAAAAAAAUUAAUUAAUAUCCACGUGUCAUCGUUCCAUUGCCCUAACUUGAAAUUCAACUAAAAUAUAAUUAAACUCACUCGUAACUAAUCCGAAUAUUGACCCGCUCCAACUUUAAAAUACAACUCUCUCCCUCUCUCUCUCUGCCUUCUUCUCCUCGUUGCUUCUUGGGCGAAAUCCACCGACGGAUCCGCCGAAAAUAGCAACAAACACAGCAACACAUCUCACUUGCAAAAUGCAAAUUAUAGAUAGAUUUUUUUUAAAACUAAACUUAGCAUAGUAAUCUAAUCGAAAAAUUGAAUCCAUGAUAACAAAAAUGAUUUCAAAAGAAGAAAAUAUAUACUAGUGAAGAAAUUAUCUAAAAAAUUGCCAACUAAUAUUAGUACAUCAUAUGAACCCAGUGUGUAUGAAAUAUGAUAAUUGCAUAAUACCCGUUACACAGAGCAGAAAAGCUUACAUAUGAAUAGAACAAAUAGUGAAAUAAAUAAAAAAUAGAAAUACCCAUUAUAUAAAAUAAUGAAGAAACCCACCUGAAAUUUCAAAUAAAAAAAGUACAAUAAAGAAUACCCAUUAUAUAAAUAAAAAGAAUAUAAACUUUUUGCAUAAAGAAAAAUAUGACACUUCCUUCCAUCUUUCACAAAAAUUAUUCUAAUAGAAAACUCAAUUUUGGGCAUUCAUGAAUAAUCGUAAGCAUACACUCGUAAAACAAAUGCUCAAUAAAAUGAAAUGGCAAAGAGGCAGAGGUGAGAGAGAGAGAUUUAUAUUUUAAAAUUGGGGCAGGUCAAUAUCCGGGCAGAUUGCAGGUGGGUUUAAUUAUAAUUUGGUAUAGGGUUUACGUUAGGUCAAUGGGAUGGUGACACGUGGAUAUUAACUAAAAAAAAAUUUCCAGCAUUUUCUAUUAGUAAUAAGGGUAAUGUUAAGUCAAAAAAAUACCGGUAAAAAAUGUUUUAUUCAAAUAGGUGGAUGAAGGACAUUUUUGUACUAAAUCCGUUACUUUAGGGACAGUUUUGUCCCUUUUCCAUUUGGACUUUUAUGAAAAUACAGUGUGAUAUCACGCAAUUUCACUUAUUAAAAUUCCACAAAGAAAUUUAAAAAUGAAAAAAAGGCAUAGCUGAUCACUUCUAUAAAAUCCGUAAUUACCAAAGGUCCAUGUUUGGUACAGUUCUAUAGUGAUAUCUCACAAAGCAAGCUGAAGGGCAAAAAAGACAUGGAGCGAGCUUCAAAUACUAAGCUAACUCUGUUGCUUAGCCUUUUCGUUGUUUCUUCUUGUAAGUUCUAACCUCAAAUCAUCAAAAUAACAAUCAAAUAACAAGAAUCAUCAUCAAAACUCAAGAUUUCAACUUGAAACUCAAUUUUUAUAAAUUUUCACAUAAUGCGUCGAAAUGCGCUCGGGUCACCCUACACCCCAGCCAAACAUGCGUACAAGUCCAAAAACAUAAUACUAAUCAACCGGAAUCGUCAAAACAUUGAUAAGAUGUAGUUUACCAAAAUUAAUGACCGUGGUUAACUUAAAUCUCAUCUUAGGCCAAAAAUUACAUUUUCUUCAAAAAUUUACGUAAAAGCUUUUUGGAAAACAACACGGACCACACACGCAAAUCGAUAAAUAUCAAAUUGGUAAAAAGGUGGGGGUAUCUACUUCGUAUAUCGGACUCGGACUCCCUUGUAACCUUCAUAUUCGACUGAGCUCUCUAUUGCACUUUCACGGAAGGAAAACUUUUCGAUCUCAACUUACGAACCUAUCGGUCAAGAAUAGCCACCGACUCUUUUUCAUAGGCUAAAUUUUCAUCAAGCUGCACCGUGCUGAAGUAUUAAACAUGCGAACUAUCCUCACGAUACUUCUGAAGCAUGAAAAUGUGAAAUACCGGUUGUACCCCUGCUAGGCUAGGAUGCAAUGCAAGCCUAUAAGCAACAUCCCAAACUCUCUCCAAGAUCUCGAACGGGCCAAUAAAUCUUUGGCUCAACUUGCCCUUCUUUCCAAACAGCAUCACGCCCUUCAUAGGCGACAGUCGAAAAAGAACCUUCUCACCCACCAUGUAAGCCACAUCUCGAACCUUUCGGUCCGCAUAGCACUUCUUUCUGGACUAAGCUGUACGAAGUCGCUCCUGAAUCACCUUAACCUUUUCCAUAGUAUCAGGGACUAAAUUAAUGCCCAAUAAUCUAGCCUCUCCGAGCUCAAACCAACCAAUCACAUAAUGACAUCGCCUCCCAUAUAGGGCCUCGUACAGAGCCAUCUGUAGGCGAACUCCGUAGAGGUAAGAACUGGUCGCAUGAACCUCCGAAGUCAAUAACACAGUAUCACGACCCAUUUUUUGAACAAGUCGUGACCGACACCCUGUCGCUAAAUUUGACCGAGCGAACCAUCUGUGCUUAUCAAGAUUAUUAUAACCUCAAAAUUUUUAUGCAACAAGGCAAUACUUUAACCAAAUACUUUUAAUUAAUUUGAAUAUCUAAAAUAAACCAACUCCAAAACUUUAUUCGUAGUGACUACUGAAAUACUACAAAGUUAUUAUCAAAACACCUGAAUGUUAACCCACCGACUUUGUCUAUGAAGUCUCUAUCGAUAAACUGAUGCAGUGCUCAGGACAUGAGAUUUUCUGGCGAGUUCUCCAAGUAAACAAAGAAAUAACUAAAUAAUGAUGACUCAAAGGAGUACUUCAUGAACAAAAGCGGAGCUCAACAAUAUACGUGAAAGUGAGGGAAGUCCUAACCUGUAGCCUGCUCGCCUGCAAAAUCCUUUUCUACGUUGUACCGCAGACCAACACAUGUUCCCAAAAGAGAACGUCAGUACUAUCUAUUGUACUCAGUGAGUCUCAACAACAGGGGACGAAACUUUAAUAAAAUACACAUUACGAGCAAAGAUUCUAAAUGCAUGGAAAACAUAAAGUUUCUAAGAACAAUUCUAAAAUAAUUGCAUAAUAGCAGUUUAUGAAUAUUCUAAAAGAAAUUCUUUUCUAUUUCUUUGUUAUAAAAAAAAAAAUUCACUUUGUACUUCUGAAGUUCCAACUAUCCUUAUUUAUUUCUGUCUUAGUCACCGUGUGAUCGGCACGGGUUCGAUCCCAACCUGAUCGAAUAGACCCAAUCCACGAGGUGCCACUCGCUUCAUGGUUCUCAACGCUUAUGUAUCAUACCUUAGCCUAGCUAGGCAAAUUCUCAGCAACGAGAUCCUCGGCUUGUGUGCUCCCUACUUUGGUACAAGUAGUUUCAGGAAGUCAAUGCCUUGAUCAGUACCCUCGGUCUGGACGAUGACCCCUUCUUAGAAUAGAGGAUACUCCCAAAAAAAUACGUUAAAAAUAAAUUAUUCUGUGUGACCUUGCUAGGAUCUAAAUCAACUUCUCAACUUUCUUGACCAUUCAAGUCUAAAUCUUUUCUGGAACAUCCUAUACAUACUCGCACGAGUAUCCUUAAAUGUAAAGCAUGGCAUAAGCAUUCAAAAGUAUUUCAAACGAUUCUUGAUUCUUCGUGAAUUUUCAACAUGAAAAUGGCAUAUAAGAAUAAUACAAAAAUCUGAAAAUUUAUGCACAUAUAUCAAAACAAUAUAUCUAAACUUUAGUUAGAAUAAUUCUAAGCUAAUAGGUACUCACUUGCUCCAAUUAAGUACAUAUUAACUCUUUUAAGUAAUUCAUCAAAUACCUUAUAUGCGUGCUUUUGUGAGUUAAACCACUUUAGUAAAUGGUUAUAUCAACUCACCUCAAAACUCCUCGAGCCAAUACAUAGGCUCCAAUCCAAUUUAUACCCGUUAAAUAAUCGAUUCUACAACAACCAGUGCAUUUUAAUUAAUUUUAAAGUUUCACACCUAAACAUGGAAUUUAAUGUUGAUAUAUAGAAAGAAGUCUGUGUUAGAGAAUCUUCUCUCUCACUAUAAAGUAUAUGUGUAUAUAUACUUUAACAAAGCCGACCUGGACCAUUCCACCUUAAGAAGUACCCCAUUCUAUUAGGUUUCCUGUAGAGCCCUUUUUCGGACUGUCUUGUUUUCAGGCCUCCACAGCCUCAGUAAAUUAUUUAUAACUUCGGAAGAUGGUCAAGGUAGCUUGCUAUUCAAUUCUUACCUACUACUACUACUACUACUGUAGAAUAAUUGACAAUAGAGAAUUUUAUAUACAUGCGUUCAAGAAUUAAUGAUUUAUAAAGAAACCUAGAACUUACCGUUGCCUGCGUGAGUAUUGAGUAGCAAGUCUGCCUCUGUUUCGUGAUUCUGUGUUUUGAACAUAAAAGCGUUCUGUUUCUUUGUAUAAGCCCUUUGUUUAAUCCUUUUGCCUUCCACAGCCCUUUAUGGGCCAAGGCUUGUC
rnacentral:lncRNA from 1 species